CCUACGGGCGUCAGCAGUGAGGAAUAUUGGUCAAUGGCCGUAAUGCUGAACCAGCCAAGUCGCGUGAAGGAAGAAGGAUCUAUGGUUUGUAAACUUCUUUUAUAGGGGAAUAAAGGUAUCCACGUGUGGAUAUUUGCAUGUACCCUAUGAAUAAGCAUCGGCUAACUCCGUGCCAGCAGCCGCGGUAAUACGGAGGGUGCGAGCGUUAUCCGGAUUUAUUGGGUUUAAAGGGUGCGUAGGUUGUUGUUUAAGUCAGCGGUGAAAGGUUGUGGCUCAAACAUAAAAUUGCCUUUGAAACUGGAAGACUGGAGUGUGUUAGAGGUAGGCGGAAU
rnacentral:rRNA from 1 species